rnacentral:rRNA from 1 species
CAUAUUGCACAAUGGGGGAAACCCUGAUGCAGCGACGCCGCGUGCGUGAAGAAGUAUUUCGUUAUGUUACGCUCCAUCAGCAUGGAAGAAAAUGACGGUACCUGACUAAGAAGCCCUGGCUAACUACGUGCCAGCAGCCGCGGUAAUACGUAGGGGGCAAGCGUUAUCCGGAUUUACUGGGUGUAAAGGGAGCGUAGGUUGUGUGGUAAAUCAGAUGUGAAAGCACGGAGGUCAACCCAGGGACUGCAUUUGAAACUAUCAAACUAGAGUGCAUGAGAGGUAAGUGGAAUUCAUAGUGUAGCGGUGAAAUGCGUAGAUAGUAGGAGGAACACCAGUGGCGAAGGCGGCUUACUAGACAGUAACUGACACUAAGGAUCGAUAGCGUGGGGAGCAAACA